AAUAAAAAUUAUUGUAAUGAUAAUAUGUAUAAAUAAUUUCAAUGAUUAUAAAUGCAAAAUUCAGCUUAUAAAUUCUCAAAACUCGUAUGCAUUUUAUAUGAUCAGCGUCAGUUCUUUAGUAACACAAACACCCUAGAAUACUAAUGCCCGUUUUCACCAACAACCUCUUACCGUUUCCCUAUCUAAAUGCUACUUUUAGUAAGGAUCCCUCCCAAUUUGACACCUACCUAAAUUCAUUUUCACCACACUUGUACAUGGAUCUCUUAAGUAAGUGACAGAUUACUAGUUCUACAAACGAUAAUGCAAAGUCGAUAUUUUAUCGAUAAAAUGAUUUUUCUGUACUUCUUAAGAAAUAAAUGUCUAUCGAGUAUAUAUUACUUAAGCCUGUGAGUUUUUUUUCUUGUGAUGUUAUUUUAAUUUAACUUAAACUACAUUACGCUAUGUUUUAUGCAAUAAAACAGUAAAGAGGUUUUCUAUAAGUGAAUUUUUACCUAUGUCAUUCGCGCGUUUGUCAAAUUGACUGAUGUGUAUGUGUACAUAGAGUGAGGUUAAUUUUGGGUUUAUUAUUGUUGAAUAGAUAAGUUUAUUUUGGCAAAGAAGAGAAAACGAGGAUAAACCUUUCUUGCAGAAGAAAAAGACAAGCUAGUGAAAUUGCUGACGUCUCAUAGAGACACAAUAUUAAACAAAAAUGGAUGGGACCACGAACGAAGCCAAAAACAAAGCUUGGAUCCAGUCACAAAUAGUUUUUUAAUGCGACAGGAACCCUUUACAGUUUCAGGUGGUGCGAGAAAUUGGAAAGACGUGUAAAAACAUGCUGCGCCCAGCCCACCUCAAAUUGAAUUGGUGCAGGAGGAUGAUGAUAAUGUUUGGUACAUCAUAUGAGGACUAAUAUUAAAAUAUUUGUUUACUA
rnacentral:lncRNA from 1 species